CUAGAAGUGUCAUUACCUACUGAUGUUUAAUCUGUCCCUGGUGUUGGGAAGGAUAGACCUGACAUUCAUGCCGCACAAUGUGCCAGUCAGCUGGACAUUGCUGCACCACCUGUUCUUUGGAAAAAUUCUUCCAGACCUUUGAACACGUCCAUCAGUUAAAGUGCACUCUGCAUUACGUAAUGCAGUUUAUAUGUUGAUGACACCAUGAUGCCUUCAUUCACCUGUCUGUUGUCUGCAAUGGAACUGCUCCUUUUUAUACAGUUUUAUGGUCAUCAGCAGUAUUGUGUGCAUUAAUUCAGGGAAUUUAAAAAAUAUGUCUUUUGAAAGCUGUAUAUAUACGAAAGUUAUGCUGAAACAGUAGUCUAGCUACUAGUCAAUCCCUUGACGUUACACAAAAUGUCCAGAGCAGAAAUUUACCAUUUGAUACAAGGAAAGAUCCGAGAAGAGGGUAGUCAGAUCCGGGUUGGUACAGAUCAUAUUAGAAACAUAGAAAAUAGGUGUAGGAGUAGGCCAUUCAGCCCGUCGAGCUAGCACCGCCAUUCAAUAUGAUCAUGGCUGAUCAUCCAAAAUCAGUACCCGUUCCGGCUUUUUCCCCAUAUCCCUUGAUUCCCUAAGAGCUAAACCUAACUCUCUCUUGAAAAAAUAUUGAUCACAACUGUAUUCAACAACGGACCCCAAGGCAAACUAGAGAGAUGCAAAUCAGAUUAUAAUAUGUACAUUUUUGCAAAUAUAUGUGAUUU